AAUAGAUACCCAGGUAGUCCUAGCCGUAAACGAUGGACACUAGGUGUUGGUGGUAUCAACCCCGCCAGUGCCGUAGCUAACGCAUUAAGUGUCCCGCCUGGGGAGUACGGCCGCAAGGCUAAAACUCAAAGGAAUUGACGGGGGGCCCGCACAAGCAGCGGAGCGUGGGGGUUUAAUUCGAUGCGACGCGAAGAACCUUACCAGGGCUUGACAUGGUCAGGAAUCCGGCGGAAACGUCGGCGUCCCGCAAGGGACCUGAUCACAGGUGUUGCAUGGCUGUCGUCAGCUCGUGUCGUGAGAUGUUGGGUUAAGUCCCGCAACGAGCGCAACCCUACUGUGUGUUGUAUCACUCACACGGGACUGCCGAGAGAAACUCGGAGGAAGGCGGGGAGUGACGUCAAGUCAGCAUGGCCCUUACGUCCUGGGCUACACCCACGCUACAAUGGCCGGUACAACGGGCUGCGAACCGCGAGGUGGAGCCAAUCCCUUAAACGCCGGUCUCAGUUCGGAUCGCAGGCUGCAACUCGCCUGCGUGAGCCGGU
rnacentral:rRNA from 1 species